rnacentral:rRNA from 1 species
UGGGGAAUCUUGGACAAUGGGCGAAAGCCUGAUCCAGCGACGCCGCGUGGGUGAUGAAGGCCUUCGGGUUGUAAAGCCCUUUCACCGGGGAGGAUGAUGACGUUACCCGGAGAAGAAGCACCGGCUAACUCCGUGCCAGCAGCCGCGGUAAGACGGAGGGUGCUAGCGUUGUUCGGAAUUACUGGGCGUAAAGGGUGCGUAGGCGGCCGGCCGCGUCAGAGGUGAAAGCCCGGGGCUCAACCCCGGAAUGGCCUUUGAUACGGGUCGGCUUGAGGCCGAGAGAGGAGAGUGGAAUACCCAGUGUAGAGGUGAAAUUCGUAGAUAUUGGGUGGAACACCGGUGGCGAAAGCGGCUCUCUGGCUCGGAACUGACGCUGAGGCACGAAAGCGUGGGGAGCAAACAGGAUUAGAUACCCCUGUAGUCC